rnacentral:lncRNA from 1 species
AACGAUGGCGGCGCGGGAUAACUUGGUUCAGAUAACGAUGGCGGCGGAGGAUAACUUGGUGAUCGCCAGCACCGUCAGCAUCACUUCCCACCGAACAGGUAGUCCAGGGAAGAGCCACCACCGGGAGCAGCGUGGACCUUGGUCGAAGGACGGUCCUGCAAACAUCAUUUGAUCACCACAACAAACCAACCGUUAGUUUCAUUCCCAUAAUUCUGCCAUGAUGCUGAAUCUGAUUGGGCAAUGUAAGGAUGCAGACAUUAAACAUUGGAGUAUAUAGCUGUCUAGCUUAGCUGUUUACAAAGGACAAUCAGUGGCCAUUAAAGGCACCGAUGCCCUCAAUCCAAGCCAUAUCAAAUUAUGAAUCCUAUUGCAAUUUCGAAACUACAGAUUCAUAUGAAAACUAGUGUUGCAAACUUAAUAUUUUUAGUGCACAAAUUGCAGACAGCAGCGACCAAAGUACUGAAUAAGAUGUUAACAUUGAUAAUCCAAACAUUCAAUACCAACCCACCCCACAACAAGACUAGUACAGUCUAAAGUAAAAUACCUGAUGGAACAAAGUUUCGCUUAUCAAUAUGAUUCUAGUGGGGUGCAAGAACAAGAAUAUCAUAUGACAGCGGUACACAGACCUCCAUAAUGCUUUUAACAUGAUAUUCCCCAGCCCAACAUCCCACAAAAUAUGACAUAAUCGCUAAGAAUGUAAAUGUAUGACUGUAUGAGCAGUAGGCCAGUAACAAUAAAUGCGUGUCAAAAAGGUUGGUAUGAGAAAAUGAAGGAAACCAGAAUACCGUAAGGAAGUUGCCGGUGUUCUGCCCAUCAGCCCGGUGAUAGUUGUUGGUUUGGCUGGUGACCCCUGCAGCAACCUGCUUAGUCACAUCAGGCUUGGGAGGAGCUGGUUUCCCAGCAGGAGGAGCACAUGCGGCUGGUGCAGCUGGUGCCACUGCUGGCUUUGGGGCCUCAUCAUUUCCAAAGAGGUAGCCCAGUUGACUUGAACCACCACCGGCACUACCACCACGACUCAUCUUGAUUGUUGAAAGGAGAAACU